rnacentral:ncRNA from 1 species
UGGGACUGGAACAGAAUUCUUUUAAAAUUCGUCGUCCACUCCCAGCUUGCUUAGCUUGUAGAAUUUCUUGAUGAAAUUCUCUUUGCUGGGGCCCCACUCCCAGCUUGCUUAGCUUGUAGCAUUUCUUGAUGAAAUGCUUUUUAUUGAGGCUUCAGCCACGUACAGAUAAGCACUUAAUAUCAAGCGUCUUCUCUAUUUAGUUAGUCACUACGAAUGUGCAGUG